GCAGUAAGGAAUAUUGGGCAAUGGCGCAACGCCUGACGCAGCAACGCCGCGUGAGGUGAUGACGGCCCGAUGGGUUGUAAAGCUCUGUUAAGUGGGGAAGAAGAGGUCUUGCUGAUAUGCAGAUUAGACGGUACCCACAUAACGUACAGCUCCGGCUAACUCCGUGCCAGCAGCCGCGGUAAUACGGGGGGAGCGAGCGUUGUCCGGAUUUAUUGGGCGUAGAGGGCAUGUAGGCGGGACAGUAAGUCAGUGGUGAAAUGUAACGGCUCAACCGUUAACCUGCCAUUGAAACUACUGUUCUUGAGUUCAGGAGAGGGAAACGGAAUUCCAGGUGUAGCGGUGGAAUGCAUAGAUAUCUGGAAGAACACCAAAUGCGAAGGCAGUUUCCUGGCCAUGGACUGACGCUGAUGUGCGAAAGCGUGGGUAGCAAACAGGAUUAGAUACCCUGGUAGUCCACGCCGUAAACGAUGGAUACUGGGUGUUGGGCGAAGUAAGACCCGCUCAGUGCCGUAGCUAACGCGUUAAGUAUCCCGCCUGGGGAGUACGAUCGCAAGGUUG
rnacentral:rRNA from 1 species